UCAUUUCUCAACCACGGAAUUAAUAUCUCUCAUCUAUUUUUCUCCAACAAAACCCUCACCUUUCUCACUUUUCCAACAAUAUUGCAACCACUUCGCAAUGUUCACACAUCAGAGGAAGGCAACGACUACAACAACAUCAUUCACUCCCUACCGUGGCACCACUUUCAAUCUCCUUUCCUCCGUUGUGAAGGGUAAGUCCAUCCUUUUUGCAGAUGAACAACUGUUGGCUUAGCGAAACUACGAAGUAGGUGGUGGUUGUGUUUGAUGUUGGGAACAUGGAUGACUGGAGAAAGUUUAAGGAUAGUGAAUUGCUCGAUGAGGCUUUUACGCAGAGAAAAGACCAUGAACAGUCUUAGAUAAGGUUUUGGGGCUGGAAAAGGAGGUUAGUUUGAAGAUAGUGAAAUUUUUAUUUCUUUAAUUUGUUGAUGUCAAAGGCUUGAAGAACGAACAAAGGAUAUUAAAUGUCUUCCCAUUUCAUUAGCCUUGAUUGUUAAAUGGCUUAUUCUGUGCUAACCAUGACUUUAAAAUGAGUAAUUUUUGAAAGGGGAAUAAUAAUAAUCAUAAUAAUUUUAAUCAUAAUGAGAAUAACAAUAGUAACAACAAUAGCACAUCUUCAUCUUCCUCUUGUACCGCAUGAAUCAAUGUAAGUGUAUAUCAUUCUACCAUAGUACAAUGUUAGUGUCACAAACACCAUAUUAGCCUUGAUUGUUAAAUAUCUAAUUUUUUUUGUAUUGAACAAAAAUGGAAUAGGAAUGUGGGUUUUUGAAGAAGUGGGUAUGGCACAACUACUACACCAGUUAGGAAGUGCAAAAAAUAUUCAAAAUGAAUGAAAACGGUGUCGUAUAUGGUGGAGAGUAUGGUGCAAGAAGAGAGAUAAAGAGUUUGAAUUGAAUAUUUGGUUUAGAAUUAGAACAUGAAAGUUUGGAAGGAUGAAGAUGAAUUGAAAAUAAGAAGUUCUCGUGCAUGGUUCAUGUUAUUUUUUUAUUUUCAAUUACUUUCAUCUCAAGUUAAAUGAAGAGUAACAAAAAGAAACUGUAUUAUCAUUUUCAUCACAUUUUAAACCGUUGGUAUAGCUUUUUUUAAUAAUUAAAUUCUCUAUAAUGCACAAAUAUACACUUUGAAUUAACAAUAAAUAAAAACAUAGGUUUAGUGUUGUUGUAACGUAAAUUGGUUCUAGUAGAGAGAAAAAUGGAAGAAAAAUGAAGUAAGAGAUGAGAAAUACCUGGAAGUUGGAAGAAAUUAUUUUGUGAAGUGAAGAAAUUAUUAGUUGUAAUUAAACAAAUUUCAAGCCAAGAUGAGUAGUAGUAGUAGCAUGUUUGAAAGUUAGAUAAAAGUCAUGCUUCAUCUAAAAAUGAUGCACCCAAUGACAGUGCCGGUUUAAGUAGCGAAAUCUACACAAAUAUAGAGUUUGAAUAAACAAGAGAAUAAAAACAUAAAUUCUUGUGAGUUAUUGGUUAUUAUUGCAAUUGAAUGAAUACAUCUUGAUUUCAUUGAUUGAAGCUUUGAACCAAAAGCUCAAUUUAUACAAAAGAAGUCAUGGUUGGCAGAAUAACUAACCAACCAGAAAAACAGAAAAAGAACUAAAAAGGAAAGAUUCCUAAUAACAAACUAAACAAAAAUCUAUUUUUGGAAACAAUUAACUAACAAACAAACUAAUGGAAUAAUGAUGAAGAAGAUGAUGAUCACAAUAGCCCCCUUCAAGCUGGAGAAUAUAUGUCAAUAAUGCCCAACUUGAAAAGUAAGUAAUGAAAAGGUUGAGGAUCUAAUGGCUUGGUGAAAAUGUCAGCAUAUUGUUCAGAGGAUUGAAUAGGUAAAAGAUGGAAGAGUUUGUUUUGAAGUCUUUCUCUCACAACAUGACAAUCAAUCUCAAUGUGUUUGGUUCUUUCAUGAAAGACAUUGUUGGAGGCAAUGUGGCAAGCGGAUGAGUUAUCACAGUAAAGAAGAGAAGGAGUUUUAAAAGAAAUAGGAAUGAACUGGAUAAGGUAUCUUAGCCAUUGUAGUUCACAUGAUGUAGCAGCCAAUGCUCUGUAUUCUGCCUCAGAGGAGGAUCGAGCCACUGUUUGUUGCUUUUUAGACUUCCAUGAUAUAAGAGCAUUGCCAAGAAAAACACAAUAACCAGAGAUGGAUUUCCUGGUAUCUAUGCACGCGCCCCAAUCUGAGUCUGAGAAGGCUUUGUAUUGCAGAGAAGAUGAAGAAGGAUAGAACAAGCCUUGGCCAGGGGCAGAUUUGAUGUAUCGAAGAACUCUGGUUAGAGCUUUGUAGUGAGUAGAGGUUGGAGAAGCCAUGAAUUGGCUUAAUUGUUGCACAACAAAGCUUAAGUCGGGUCUAGUGUUUGUGAGGUAAAGGAGUCUUCCUACAAGCCUCCUAUAUAGUGUUGCAUCAGGAAAAUGAGAACUAUCUUGUUGAUGAAGUUUGGAAGUUCUAACCAUCGGGGUAGGAAGAGGUUUGGAUGAAAGGAAACCAGUGUCUUGUAAGAUAUCCAAAGCAUACUUCCUUUGUGAGAGGAUGAUGCCUUUGGUAGAUCUGGAAAUCUCGAGACCUGGAAAGUAUUUGAGAGGCCCUAAAUCUUUGAUUUUGAACAUGGCAUGAAGAUGAGCUUUGACAAAGUUGAUUUCAUUUUGAUCUGUACCAGCUAAGAUCAGGUCGUCAACAUAAAUGAGAAGAAUGGUGAACUUGGAAUUAAAAGUUUUAAUAAAGAGAGAAUGGUCAUGUUGUGAUUGUGUAUAGUCAAGAGAAAAUAAAGUGGAAGACAAUUUGUGAUACCAUUGCCUACUAGCUUGCUUCAAACCAUAAAUUGAUUUGUGAAGCUGACAAACCUGAUUUGGUUUAUAACCAAUGAUUCCAGGAGGAAUUAACAUGUAUACCCCUUCAUCAAGCUCUCCAUGAAGGAAAGCAUUGUUGAUAUCAAGUUAUUGGAGAGUCCAAUUUUGAGCAGAAGCAAGAGCAAGAAUUAACCUAACAUUUGAUAGUUUGAUAACAGGGGCAAAUGUAUCAAAGAAAUCUAUACCUUCAAUUUGAGUAUACCAUUUGGCGACCAAACGAGCCUUAUACCUUUCAAUGCUUCCAUAUGAGUUGUAUUUAAUCUUGUAAACCCAUUUAGUCCCUAUAGGAACCUUAUCAGGAGGAAGAUCAACAAUAGACCAAGUGUUAUUGAGUUCAAGGGCAUUGAGUUCAUGCUGCAUAGCUUCAAUCCAAUAGGGAGACAUGAUGGCUUGUUUAUAAAUUUUUGGUUCUGCUGUGGUGGUAAUGGAAAGGGCAUGUUGGAAAGCCUUGAGAGAUAGAGAAUGAUAGGAAAGGACAACAGAUAAAGGAUAUUUGAUUCUUGGUUUGUGAGGAAGAGUGUUAUGGCUGAGGAUGCUAUGAUGGAAAUCUUGUAGGUAGGAAGGGGGUGUCUAAUCCUAUUAGAUCUUCGAGGUUCAAGGAUAGGGUCACUAGAAGAUGGAGUUGUAUGGUUAUGAGGUGAGUCAGUGGUGCAUGAUAUUGGUUCAGGAUUAUAUGGACAGGUCAUUGGUAAGGCAUUGGUAUGGUCAUCAUAAAGAAGAAAUUCAAGGCUUGAUUCAGUAGGUAGUAUAAAGUCAGAUUGUUUAUGUUCAGAAAAGGCAUUGGCAUAUGGGAAAACCUGCUCAUGGAAAGUGACAUGCCUUGAUAGAAAAAUGGCAUUUGUACUGAUAUCUAGGAGUAAGUACCCUUUGGUCCCUGUUGUGUAUCCUAAAAAUAUGCAUUUUUUGGGUCUAGGGUCUAGUUUUGUCUUGUGGUUGCUAAGAGUGCAUGUACAACAAAGGCUGCCAAAAACCUUUAAGUCAUUGAGGUCAGGUUCCUUAUUGUAUAAUAGGUUAAAAGGGGAUUUGUUUUGCAGGACAUAGCUAGGCAACCUAUUAAUAAGAAAGGUGACAUGUCUAACAGCAAAAGACCAAAAAGUGAUUGGUAAUUGAGACUGAAAUAAAAUUGAUCUAGUUACAUUUAACAAGUGCCUAUGUUUUCUUUCAACAAUAGAAUUUUGUUGUGGGGUUUCAACACAACUAGUUUGAUGUUGGAUUCCUAAAUUUUGAUAAGUUGCAGGUGUAUUAAAUUCCUCCCCAUUAUCAGUCCUUAUGACUUUAAUUAUCUUGUUGAAUUGAGUUUGAACAAACUGAAUAAAGCUAUGAACAAGAUUCCUAGUUUCAACCUUAGAUUGCAUUAAGAAAAGCCAUGUAUGUCUACUAAAAUCAUCAAUAAUAGUCAAGAAAUAUUUAUGUCCAUGUAUGGAGGGAACACCCAAGGGUCCCCAUAUGUCCAUGUGGACAAGAUCAAAAGGAGAUUUAGCAUGAUGAGUGCCUUUUGAGAAGGGAAGUUUUGCCAUUUUUGCCAUAUAACAGAAAUCACAAAUCAAUGAUGAAUCAUAUUUAACCAAAGGAAAUUGCUUAGAAAUAGUGUGUAAAACAUUACUAGAGGGGUGUCCAAGUCUUGAAUGCCAUAAAUCAAAGUUGACACUCUUAGUGUUAUUUGCAAUUAUUCUGUUUACAUUGCACAAGACUUGUUUAGAUGACUUAGAUGUUAUUUUGAGUAUAUAUAAGCCAUUCAAUGCUUCAACAUGUCCAAUCAUCUUCAUGGUAAUCAUAUCCUAAAUAAGGCAAUGAGAACUAUCAAAGAUCAAUAUGCAAUUUAAUGAUCUUGUAAGCUUAUGUAUAGAUAUUAAGUUGUAUUGAAAAUCAGGUAAAAAUAGGACAUUAUGCAGAGUAAGUUGUGCAGAUAGUGUAACUGUUCCUGAUUGUUGAGCAAUAAGAGAUGAUCCAUUUGGAAGCUUAAUUCUUACAUGCUUAAUAGGUCUUAAUAUGUCAAAAUUAGAGAUGAAAGGGCUUAUAUGAUCAGUGGCUCCACUAUCUAAAAUCCAAGAUAAGAUGUUACCUGAUAUAUGGUUGGGAUUAUCACUUGUUGUAGUGCUUUCUUCUGUGUUUUUGUGACUGAACUGGUUGACAUUGUGUUGACCCUUAUUUGUUGAAUUCACAUCUGCUUGUUGUAGGAGAUUGGUGAGUAGAGCAUAUUGUUCUGGAUUGAACUAUAGGGCAGGUUGUUGUUUGGUAUUCUCGAAUUGCUUGGUUUCUAUCAAAUUGUUCACUGCACCUUCAUUUUCUUUAAUCUUGGUGUAAUUGGGAGGAAAUCCAUGCUUGUGAUAGAAUGUGUCUAUGGUGUGACCUCCUUUAUUGCAAUAGGUACAUAUUCUUGUGGAUGAAAAUCUUUGGUUGUAUCCUCUUCCUCCCAACCUUCCUCUGCCUCUUUGGUAUGAAUUAGUGCUCCUACCACCUGUGGUUCUCCAGUUAUCAUCUUGAAUUCUUUGGAUCAUUACAUUGUCAUUUCCUAUGGUGUUCCUCCAAUUCUCAUUGUCCCUUCUAUUGGAUAAGAG
rnacentral:lncRNA from 1 species